rnacentral:rRNA from 1 species
CCCUUAGGUGUCCGGGGCUGCACGCGCGCUACACUGAAGGAAUCAGCGUGCUAAAACCAUUGUCGAAAGGCAUUGGUAAACCCAUUAAAAUCCUACGUGAUUGGGAUCGGGAAUUGCAAUUAUUUCCCUUGAACGAGGAAUUCCCAGUAAGUGUGGGUCAUAAGCUCGCGUUGAUUACGUCCCUGCCCUUUGUACACACCGCCCGUCGCUGCCCGGGACUGAGCCGUUUCGAGAAAAGCGGGGACUGCUGCUGUCGGGGCUUUCGGGCCUUGGCUUCGGUGGAAACCGCUUUAAUCGCAGUGGCUUGAACCGGGCAAAAGUCGUAACA